rnacentral:misc_RNA from 1 species
UGAGAAUUUCAUCUUUAAGUGAGUAAGACAAAUAAGUAUGUUAUUCUAAACUCUCAACCUAAAAUCAAAAAAGACCAAAAAAAAACAUGGCAACAGUACCAGGGCUCCGUGCCGACGCCCCCUCCAACCAGGGGCGGGGUCUCGGCCACGGGGUCCUCGUGAAACCGUUACGAGUGCUGUGCAUGACCACCCACUGUGAAAAGGGCUAAAAUCUCUUUCGUUCGUUAAUUCUCACGCGCCACUCCCGACUCGCACUCAUGUCAACACCGCAAAGCUUUAGAUCUUCCCAAUUGACUUGGGAUUUUAGCAGAGUGCAGCGGCCGUGUGUCAGGCAGAGAGAGAGAGAGAGAGAGAGCCCCGGGUUGGCUGCUGGGGGUGCUGGGACCUUGUCCCAGCCCUGCCACUCACUCGCUGUGUGAUCCUUGGCGAGUCCCUUUCCCACCCUGGGCCACCUCCUCCCCCCCCCCGUCCAGGCGGGGGCUUGAACACCAUGACCAUCAGGGUCCUCUCUUGCCCUCAAAAUCUGAAUUAGGAACGAGGGAGUGAUGAGCGAAAACCGUUCCCCUAAAAAAUUAGGAUCCGAUGAAGACUAAGUCUCAUCCUGGGAUCCGAAGGUUUUGGCCUAUCCUGGAUGUACACUUGAUGUAUUUGAAAUGAAUUUUGACUGCAUUUCUCAAAGUGGGGAGCCUCCUGGCCCACUGCCCACCUGGAAACGGUUGCCCCCUUUGAGUCCCAGUGUGCAGUCUGGGGCUGACCCCCUAAGGCAGCCCCCUCCCCAACCUACCCACCUACUCAAGGCCCUAGCAACUGUGCCUGCCUCCGACCCUGUAGGUUAGAGAUGUCCCCCAGCAAUUUAAGUGCAUCUUGAACCUCAAGUGCCCCUGGUGUGUCUGAGCAGCAACACAGCCCUCACCAAGGUUUUUCACAGUUUGGUGGAAAUUUUCGCUUGUGGGGCAUUUUCUAGUUCUGUGGCCAUGGAGGUACCAGACCAGACCACAGCGUGGAUUUCAUUUGUGUUGCUGAGUUAACUACCCUCAGAUCCCCAAAGACCUAGCCAGCUUCUGAAUGAUAAACUUUGCCUUCUUUUUUUUUUAAGAGAAAAGAGCAUCUAUAUUUUGUGCAAAAGUAAAUGGGACAGAGUUCUGUUUAGCUUCUCAGCCCUCAGAGUUGGGCAGCUAAACAGCCCUUGGGUACCAGUUAGAAAUAUUUUGCUUCUUGAAUUAUUAAGAUAGGAAUGUAUAUUCUUAGCUUAUUGAGUAUUACCUGCCUUGCUUACCUUGCUAAGCCAACGUCACCUACGUCGUCUCUGUCAUUCGAAUCACAUGCACCCACACGCGUCACCGACUGUCACAUGACCACCAACCUCAUCACCCGUCAGCCACCGGUUUACCGCCCCCAGCCCCUUGUCAUCCUGUUUCACAGCCCGACCCUCAUCUCCCCAAGCUCCCCAGUUCUCACCUAAGACAUUGUCCCCGUCACUCCAGACUUUGUCAUCCCCAGCCCAAGCUCCCCUGAUCACCUGCACCCACACCCUAUAGUCCCGAUGCCCUCCCCGGCGACCGCCUCCCACCCUCACCCCAAACCCUGUCAGCCCCGCACCCUCGCCCCCCUGGUCCCCGUUCCCAAGUCCUCUCCCACCCCCAGCUCCAGUUACUGCCCCACCCCUCCCCUCCCUGGCCCUCAGCCCCAGUCUCUACCAGCCCUCACCCCAACCCCCUCUACCUACCCCCCACCCAAGUCAUUAGAGUCACCAUCUCAUCUCAUUUUGAGUUUGUUUUAAGAGAUAAAAUUUAAAAAAAGACAAAAAAAAAAGAACUGUUGGCUCGGUUGGGCUGGGGUCUGGCACCCCCGCCCAGCCUCUCUCUCUCACGUGAGACCCCUGAUCGAGUCAGCUGACGGUUCUGACCCUCAAUCUCCCCUCGCGCCAAAUUCUAAGAUUGGACGCAGCGAUCAAAUUUCUCUACUCCACACUUUCGACCUCCGUGUUGUAGAGUGCAGCCAUGUCCCCUGACGACAACGAAAAGACCCCCCCUCACCCCACCCACUGCCUAUCCUUGACCAGUUCCUCACCCAUCCAUCCUUCAUCCACCAUCCAUUCAAUCAGGAAGCAUUUCCAAGCACCUGCUGAGUGCAAGGCGGUGUGCAGGGAGCUGAGGACGCAGGAUGAGGGGCCCUCUGGGAGGGGCGUGGACACACAGGCUCCCCAGGGAGCCUAGUGCAGUGCAAGUAAAGCAACGUGGGAGGGAGACACCCCCCUCGCAGCCUGACCAUCUCACUUGCCCACGUGACACCCUCUCUUACCAGCACUCAAUGAGGCCGCCCCACCCAAAUUCCAGAGCGCCUCUCACACACAUCCUGCGAGAUCAGAACCAAGUCAGCAGCCUCGCCACGGUCUUCACGUCAUGCAGAAAUUGGUCCAUUCCAUCUGCUAUGGGGUAACCAGAUUCUGCUGAGAGUGUUGGGAUCCUUGACUGCCCAUCCGCACCUCGUGUGUGUUUGGAGUAGUGUGUAGUUUACGCCAAUCCCGGGGAAGCUCAAAGACAGCCAUCGGAGACAUGGUCCCUAGUGUGGUCCCCAACCUGGGGGAGGAGCAGGCGUGAUGAUCUUGUAACUGAAAAAUUUCAAACAUGUCAAUGAUGAGCUCUUUUUAGCUUCCCCGUCUCUGCAGCCAGACAUGCAAAAAAAGUUUUGUUUAUUGAAAAAAUAAACAAAAAC